UUUAAAUUGAGAGUUUGAUCCUGGCUCAGGACGAACGCUGGCGGCGUGCUUAACACAUGCAAGUCGAGCGAUGAAGCUUCCUCCGGGAAGUGGAUUAGCGGCGGACGGGUGAGUAACACGUGGGCAACCUGCCUCAAAGAGGGGAAUAGCCCUCCGAAAGGAGGAUUAAUACCGCAUAAAGUUAGAGUUUCGCAUGAAACUUUAACCAAAGGAGUAAUCUGCUUUGAGAU
rnacentral:rRNA from 1 species